UUCCUGAGAUGUUCGAUAACUCUUGUUAUUUUGAACCUACAAUACUUUAAAAGGGAUUCCUAUAUCUAUAAGUCGAUGUCAAGCCUCCGUUUGAGUGGAAGGCAGAAGCUUAUGUGCGGUUACCCACCUAGCAAAUGCUAGGAGUCAAAAUACAGGGAACGGCAUUUUGGGGUUU
rnacentral:other from 1 species